rnacentral:rRNA from 1 species
AAUGAACGCUGGCGGCGUGCUUAACACAUGCAAGUCGUACGAGAACGCUUCAGCUUGCUGGAGCAAGUAAAGUGGCGCACGGGUGAGUAACGCGUAGGUAAUCUGCCUUCAAAUUUGGGAUAACAUUGCGAAAGGGAUGUUAAUACCGGAUAGUCCCUUCGGGGUAAAGAUUUAUCGGUGAGAGAUAGGCCCAUGCUCUAUCAGCUAGUUGGUAAGGUAAAGGCCUACCAAGGCUAUGACGGAUAGCUGGUCUGAGAGGACGAUCAGCCACAAUGGAACUGAGACACGGUCCAUACUCCUACGGGAGGCAGCAGUGAGGAAUUUUGCGCAAUGGGGGAAACCCUGACGCAGCAAUACCGCGUGGAGGAUGACUGCUUUCGGGUUGUAAACUCCUUUUCUCUGGGAAGAAUUUUGACUGUACCAGAGGAAUAAGUCACGGCUAACUACGUGCCAGCAGCCGCGGUAAUACGUAGGUGGCAAACGUUAUUCGGAAUUAUUGGGCGUAAAGCGUCCGCAGGCGGCAAGGCAAGUCAGGUAUUAAAUCUAUGGGCCCAACCCAUAUUCUGUAUCUGAAACUGUUUUGCUAGAGUAUGACAGAGGUUAGCGGAAAUUCCUGGUGUAGGGGUAAAAUCCAUUGAUAUCAGGAGGAACACCAAUUGCGAAGGCAGCUAACUGGGGCAUUACCGACGCUCAUGGACGAAAGCGUGGGGAGCGAAACGGAUUAGAUACCCGUGUAGUCCACGCCGUAAACGAUGGAUACUAGGUAUUGGGAGGAAUCGACCCCUUUCAGUGCCGUAAGCUAACGCAUUAAGUAUCCCGCCUGAGGACUACGAGCGCAAGCUUAAAACUCAAAGGAAUAGACGGGGACCCACACAAGCGGUGGAGCGUGUUGUUUAAUUCGAUAAUAAGCGGAGAACCUUACCUAGACUUGACAUCCCAAGAAGGUCCCAGAAAUGGGAGUGUGCCUCUCUCCGGAGGAACUUGGUGACAGGUGCUGCAUGGUUGUCGUCAGCUCGUGCCGUGAGGUGUACGGUUAAGUCCGAUAACGAGCGGAACCCUUAUCAUAUGUUGUAUUUCUCAUAUGAGACUGCCUGCGUUAAGCAGGAGGAAGGUAGGGACAACGUCAAAUCAGCAUGGCUCUUACGUCUAGGGCUACAAACGCGCUACAAUGGGUAGUACAAAGGGUUGUGCGAGGGGGUGACUCUUAGCUAAUCUCAAAAAACUACUCUAAGUUCGGAUUGAAGGCUGAAACUCGCCUUCAUGAAGUUGGAAUCGCUAGUAACCGUGAAUCAGCUACGUCACGGUGAAUAUGUUCCUGGGUCUUGUACUCACCGCCCGUCACGUCAUGAGAGCUGGAAACGUCCAAAAUACCCAUUUAGUUGGGUAUUAAGACGGAAUCAGUAAUUGGGACGAAGUCGUAACAAGGUAACC